UCCAGACUCCUACGGGAGGCAGCAGUGGGGAAUAUUGCACAAUGGGGGGAACCCUGAUGCGGCGACGCCGCGUGGGCGAGGAAGUAUUUCGGUAUGUAAAGCCCUAUCGGCAGGGAAGAAGAAAUGACGGUACCUGAAGAAGAAGCCCCGGCUAACUACGUGCCAGCAGCCGCGGGAAUACGUAGGGGGCAAGCGUUAUCCGGAUUCACUGGGCGUAAAGGGAGCGCAGGCGGCACGGCAAGUCUGGUGUGAAAGCCCGGGGCCCAACCCCGGGACUGCAUUGGAAACUGCCGGGCUGGAGUGCCGGAGGGGUAAGCGGAAUUCCUGGUGUAGCGGUGAAAUGCGCAGAUAUCAGGAAGAACACCGGUGGCGUAGGCGGCUUACUGGACGGCAACUGACGCUGAGGCUCGAAAGCGUGGGGAGCAAACAGGAUUAGAUACCCGAGUA
rnacentral:rRNA from 1 species